CUCUGCUGAUUUUGAAGCCUCAUUCCCAAGAAGGUGAAGUCUGCCACUCGGGGAAAAUGGUACCAGCACUGCUAGAUUGAAUUCAUCAGCACGUCCUAAGAAAAAUAUCUGCAUAAUAUACUUUGAUCGCUCGAAUAUUUCCUCAUCUCAUCAUGCCCGCUGGUACUGCUCUAAUCCGAGCCACCAGACUCCCUAGCCUGGACAUCUGCAGACUCUUACUCCUGCACCAGCCUCCUUCUAUCAAUGCCUGGGUAUCACCACACAAAGGAACCGGGGAAGCUGCCUG